UCUACCUACGGGACGCAGCAGUGGGGGAUAUUGCACAAUGGGGGAAACCCUGAUGCAGCGACGCCGCGUGGGCGAAGAAGUAUUUCGGUAUGUAAAGCUCUAUCAGCAGGGAAGAAAAUGACGGUACCUGACUAAGAAGCCCCGGCUAACUACGUGCCAGCAGCCGCGGUAAUACGUAGGGGGCAAGCGUUAUCCGGAUUUACUGGGUGUAAAGGGAGCGUAGACGGUUAUGCAAGUCUGAAGUGAAAGCCCAAGGCUCAACCAUGGGACUGCUUUGGAAACUGUAAAACUGGAGUGCAGGAGAG
rnacentral:rRNA from 1 species